UCAAGUAUAAAGUGCAACUCAUUUUGUCAAACAAUACUGAGUGCCCAUCUCGUAAAAGCAUAGAGAUAGAAAUCAAAUUCUUUAUACAUGAAGGAAAAUAUAAACAAUUUUUAAGUUCCAGGACUUCCCAGAGGGCAGUUUAAGCAUGUAGGUGCCUAUUGCUUUUGCAGAGAUCUUAGUGCCGUUCCCAACUCGCACAAUCAUCUCCCCAUUG
rnacentral:lncRNA from 1 species